GGGACACGUGGUAUCCUGUCUGAAUAUGGGGGGACCAUCCUCCAAGGCUAAAUACUCCUGACUGACCGAUAGUGAACCAGUACCGUGAGGGAAAGGCGAAAAGAACCCCGGCGAGGGGAGUGAAAAAGAACCUGAAACCGUGUACGUACAAGCAGUGGGAGCACCUUCGGGUGUGACUGCGUACCUUUUGUAUAAUGGGUCAGCGACUUAUAUUCUGUAGCAAGGUUAACCGUAUAGGGGAGCCGCAGGGAAACCGAGUCUUAACUGGGCGUUAAGUUGCAGGGUAUAGACCCGAAACCCGGUGAUCUAGCCAUGGGCAGGUUGAAGGUUGGGUAACACUAACUGGAGGACCGAACCGACUAAUGUUGAAAAAUUAGCGGAUGACUUGUGGCUGGGGGUGAAAGGCCAAUCAAACCGGGAGAUAGCUGGUUCUCCCCGAAAGCUAUUUAGGUAGCGCCUCGUGAAUUCAUCUUCGGGGGUAGAGCACUGUUUCGGCUAGGGGGUCAUCCCGA
rnacentral:rRNA from 1 species